AUUCGGGGCUGUGAACAGGCGACUGCAAUCAGACUAGGGCUGAUGGCGUUGGGAGUCUUGCAGAGUUUGCACUGGCAAGGCAGGCUUUUUAAACCCUUCACUGCUCCACUGGAAACACCACCAAACUAAGGCCUUUGGGAUAAAAUGCCAGACAAGACACAGUCGUCGCCUUCAAGGGGAUUUAAGUCUAGCAGGAGUGGGAGAAGUUGAAAAGAACACAAGGAACACUGUUGACUCCCACUGUAUAAGAACUACAGUGCAUCUAUCUCCAUUAGCAUUGUCACACGGGUUUUAUAAAAUCAUAUUACAA